rnacentral:lncRNA from 1 species
GAAAGAUAAACCCUACUGUUCAUCUUUCUUCCUCACCAAAAUUGAAAAUACAAUCAGAUGACACCGGCAAUCACAUACAUGUACCAUGUACUUAUACUACUAACCUAUUCAUGAACCAUGUAUACAAUUCUUAAGAAACAGGUUUACUUAUCAACAUAACGCCUAUUACCUAGGGGUGGAAAAUGUGGUGAAUUCACCAUUUGAUAAAAAUGCUCCAUGGUUUUAAGAAGAGGAAU